UCAACGGGUGGCUGCAGUGGGGAAUAUUGGACAAUGGGCGAAAGCCUGAUCCAGCCAUGCCGCGUGUGUGAAGAAGGCCUUCGGGUUGUAAAGCACUUUCAGUGGGGAAGAAAGCCUUGGGGCUAAUACCCUCGAGGAAGGACAUCACCCACAGAAGAAGCACCGGCUAACUCCGUGCCAGCAGCCGCGGUAAUACGGAGGGUGCGAGCGUUAAUCGGAAUUACUGGGCGUAAAGCGCGCGUAGGCGGUCUGAUAAGCCGGUUGUGAAAGCCCCGGGCUCAACCUGGGAACGGCAUCCGGAACUGUCAGGCUAGAGUGCAGGAGAGGAAGGUAGAAUUCCCGGUGUAGCGGUGAAAUGCGUAGAGAUCGGGAGGAAUACCAGUGGCGAAGGCGGCCUUCUGGACUGACACUGACGCUGAGGUGCGAAAGCGUGGGUAGCAAACAGGAUUAGAUACCCUGGUAGUC
rnacentral:rRNA from 1 species